rnacentral:lncRNA from 1 species
UUUGAUUCUAUAUAACUUCUUUUUUCGUCAUUGUUGGGGGGCAGGAACAAAUAUUGAGCUUUUUAUUUUGUGAUUUUUUCAAGUUGAGAACACAAAAGAUUGAGGGAAGGAUACGUUCGAAUCAUGAAACACAUUUUGAAAGGGCAGAGAUAAUAAAUUUAGUGUUUCGCUUUCAAGUUCAUGUUCGUAUCUUUAAUCGGUUGUUCCUAGUUGAGCUUGGUGUGGUGAAGGUUGUCUCUCCAACUCGUUCAUGUCCCUCUUCGCUGACUAGAAGAAGGUAAUAGAUCCUCUUUCGUAGUAUUUUUUUUCUAUCGUCUUUUAGAUUUCAAAAUGAUUUUUGAGUGAUUUGAAGCUUGUGGUGUUGUUUUUUUGUAUUUUUACAUAUUGAUAUGCCUCAUUCAUAACGCUUUAGUUAUUUCAUGGUCUACUAGAAGGUAUUGUUUUCUAUUUUUUUUAUUCGUGCCUAAAUUCGCUUUUCGUUUGUUGUUCCCCUCAAGGUUAUACCACUGCCUCCUCUUGAAAUUCUUUUGAAUGUCAUUGAGCUUGUAUGCCCUUAUUCCCUUGUGUGCUAAUGUCAAAAUUUGUAUUUUUGUAUCACUACUUCUGACCUUCUUACCAAACGAAAGCAAAAUCUUGGAAAAAUUGAUGAUUGCUAAGUAGUAUGUCAUUUUAGUAAUUGUAUGUUGGAUGAUGUGUGUUGGAUGCCACAAAUAGCUUCACUAUUCUAUUUGAUAUCAUGUUGGUCCUAUGGCUCAAUGUGCCUCAUUUAAAUCAAGUUUACACCAUAUUUGCUCAGAUUUUAAAAAUAAAUAAAUAAAUCAAUAAAAUGUUUGUCAUUCGUAAUCAAUCUCCUAAUAUAUAUGAGAUGCAUUCAAAAAUCAUGAUUAAUUCUCUUUUUGUGCUCGCCAUUACCCGGUAGCUUGACUAAACAAAUGCAUUUGGCCAUUUAAUGAUUUACUGUAAGUGUUUAUAUCUAUGUCAUCCUUAGACGAGAAUUACAACUUUGGUUCAUGUCUGUUAAGUAUCUGUUAGUUGUUCAACGUUUUGAUACUAGGAACUUAGUUUUAGGCACAAUGUUUUGUUAGUUAGAAUCUCAGAAGUUGUCCUUCGCUUCAUUUUACAAAUGUUCUUCUAACAUAGAAUACAUGUUUCUGAUGUGCCAAACGAGUUGUCUUCCAAUUUCUAUAUCCUGCUUCGCUUUUCUCUAAAUUUUUGGCAUAUAAAAAUGAUUGUUUGACAUUGACUUGUGCCUUUGUUGGUCUCUCUCUAUGUGACAAGAUGAUUUUUCUAAUUUUGAUGUUAUUCCUUAGUGGUAUUACUUGCUCAUUUUGUAUUUGUUCCUCAGUAAUUCAAUGGAUUAUUCAUCAAUAUGAGAAAUUUGUUUGGGACCGAAAACCAAUGGAAGCUAAAAAAGGAGUUUGCUCAUAAGUUGUUUGAACACAUGCUUACAGUGAUCAAAAUGUACUCUUUGUCUUAACAUCUUUGUUUGAAUGACUCAUGUGAUUUAUUUUGAUCUUCCGGAAAUUGGUUGGCAGUAUUCGUGAGUGAAAACCGAAGUAGCCCUUUUUCUUUCUUCUUUUUCUCACUGUAUUAUGUAAACAAUGAAAUAAAUAAAAUAAUAAUAAAGAAAAAUAAAAUAAAGUGUGCUCUAUAUUUUUAUCCAUCGCUAAUGUGACUUUACUUUUUUUAUAUGAAAUUUAUCUGAGUUCGCCAUGAACUCCCUCUUACAUUUCGAUAAAGUAAUCAAAGCUCAAAUUCCCUUAUUCGAGUCAGCCUAUUAACUAGAAGAAUAAGUUUCGAAAAGGUGUACAGGUCCCUAAGUGAAAGGAAUUGAAGUGGAAGAAGAGGAAGAGAGUGAGCCAUAAGGGCCCAAGUUUAUUUCCUUAGAAUUUUGUAUUUUUGUUGUUCUAGUCCUAAGCCCUUGUCUUAUUAUUAUUAUUUUGCUCAUUAGGACACGUACCAUUGAAAUGGGUCAAAGGCCCCAAAAGAAAUGGGUCCAAAUACCAGUCCAGGGAGAAAGAAACCGGAUAUGGACCCAACUCUCUCUCACUCUCUCCUUUUACUUUCGUCUAUUUGCUUGUCGAUAUCUACUACUAGUUUUAAGUUAGGAAAUUUCAAAUCCCUACAAGACACCACCUCGUUUUAAUCACUUAUCUAAAUCAACCAAGUAUAAAUAAACUUAAAAAUAAAUAAAUAAAUUUUGCAAAUCUCAAUUAGAUAAUAAAAUUGAUACUUCACUUUUCAAACAACUCUAAGUAUUUCUUUAUCUCAAAAUGAGUUAGACAUUUUAGCCAAACAAUUUAAUUGUUGGAAAAUCAUGUUAAUGGAUAUUUUAGGUAAAGUUUUCUAAAAGUUUUCAUGUUUAAAUCUUUUCGAAAACUAAGUUUUUUCUUGUCUUUUGCUCAAAAAUUAAGUGGCGACUCUAAAAAAAUAUAAAACUGAUAUAAAAAUAUUUUUCUUUUCUGAAAUAAAACAAUUAGUCCCCCUCCACUACAACUUCCUUGAACGCAAUUUCCAUCACAAUUGAGCUUAAUAAAAUUUCUAGGUGGUUUGAGCCAUUUGACUCUGAUGGAAGUUCUUUGAUCGGUGUCCGCUUCAAAGAUUUGACAGAGGCUAUUCCAGCUUCACCUAUCGUUUCUUGACCAAAAUUCUUUUGUGUAACCUGCAAUAGAGUGAAACACUCUUUAAAUUAAUAUGUUAUGUUGUGUUAAAUUGCAUGUUGGGUGUUUGAGUUGGAUGUUAGAUUUUGCCACCCUUUGUUCUAUUUAAAGUAAUCUCAUUAUAGGAUGAAGAUUUCCAAGGAGAGAUAUUGUAACACAUCGGUCGUAGAAAGAACUAAUUUUAGCAAGAACCUGUGUGGAAAGGGCUAAAUCGAGAAUUUGUUAGUGUUAAAUAGUGAGUUUUGGGUCAACUUCAAACAACCAUAAUUUUCAAUACAUUAUGAGUUAAGUGGCCUGUGAGAUAUAAAAUGAAAGAUCUUUUAUUCCUCCUGCCAAUGUCACCAAAUUUUCUAAAAUAUAAGUUCAAAUGAUGGAGAUAUACUUGUUUGAGUUCAGCCCAUUCGUUUAAGGAAAUUCAUCCGAACGAAGGAGGGGUAUUUUGGUUGUUUUCCUUACCCUACUAGCCUAACUAAUUUCUAGUAAUAUUUUAGGGGUCUAAAAUUAUUUUGAUCAGUUUUCACAAUUCAAAAACACUCUUAGGGUUUUAGAGAGAAAUUCAAGAGGAUAAAAAAAGAGAAGUUCAAUCGUUCAUUCAAGAUUCUUGCAAUCGUUGAGGAGUUUUUCCAAGGAUUAAAUCCUUUCAAGGUACGUAAGUUUUCAUAGUUUUGCGUUCGUUCACCCACACUCCAACCAUGUGACUUUUCAUCCGUAAUUUCGUUAUUGAGUCUGAAUAAUUUGACAAUUUGAGGAGUUCUUGAGGUUUUGUGCUUCAUUCUUUGAUAUGUAGGUUUUCAUAGUCUUGAGGUUUUGUGUUUCAAGGUAUGUCAGUUUUCAUAGUGUUGGGUUCGUUCACCCACACUCCAACCAUGUAAUUUUUUCUCCGUAUAUUGAGUCUGAAUGAUUUUCAUGAAAUUGUGUUGGGUAAAUAAAUUUAAUGAAAUUUGGAAGAAACCACUUGAUUCUAGGUGAAUUAGAGACAAAAAUCGAUUAGGAACAUUCAUCGAGUUUUUUGGGCAGGGGCUGGGGCGACACGCCACUAAUGCGCACCAGCAGUGCAACAAAAAUAGUUCUCUAUAGUUUAGGGCUAGUGUCUCGGGCCACUCAGUGCGACAGGGUCACCUUUACCCGUCGUUUUCUAUUGUUCGUUUCAUCUGAGUUAUUUUUCAAAAUAUAUUCACUCUCUUCCUUAUUAUAACUAUUCUAAAAUACAUCUAAUCAUCAAAAGAUCCUUUAUAUCAUGAAUCAUAACUCUUGAAUUCAUAUUUCAAAUUCAAGAAAAUGUUAAGAGUCACGUUUGAGAGGCUUUCGAGUCUUUUUGAGAAGUCUUUUACAAACUUUAAAAACUUGUUUUAAGACUUGAGUUAAAUAUGAGGAUGAGGAGAUUUGAAUUCAUGUUUUUAAAAUGAAUAUAAAGGAACUAAGUGUUUCGAAGAGUAAAUAUUUUUACAUUUAAAAUGAGCGGAAACAUCAAUUUUCAAAUGAGUUCAUGAGAAGUUUUUUAGAACUAUCUCCUUUAAGAGAACAUUUUGAGUAAUAAUCUCAAACUUUUAGUACAAGUAAAUAUUUUUUUAAAUCGUAGCACGAGUUAUAUUAUUGGAAGUAGUAUUGAGCACCGAUGGUCCUUUUGAUGUUUUAAGGGUUGGCUGAUUUUUCUUGUACCUGAAUUUGGUUUCUUUCACUAUCGUGAGGAGGAGCUCGCUUUUACAAGGUGUUGUUCUCUUUCGCGAAGGUUCAACUUCCUUUGACCUUCGCGAUCGCGAAAUACCUAUUCACGAUCGCGAUCUUCAAAUAAUCGAAGAAUUGUUUGCUUAAAAGAGACUCGUGCUUUUAGUGGGGUUCACUUAAGUGAACCUUUAGUCCCUUGUACGACAUCAUAGAAGGGUUUUGGCCUUCCAUUUCUGGGUUUAAGAUCCAUUUCACCAUUUUUGAACUUGGUGAACCCUUGGUGGCAAAUUUUCAAAGACUUUUUGGUGACAGGUCAGUUGGGUAAGUUUUCUUGAUCGUAAACCUUUAUUUUUCAUUAAUUAAUUAUGAGUUUUAACCUAAAAAUAUGGUAUUUUGAUUGGUGAAUAAUGAGUUUUUUUCAAGAACCGAAGUUCGAACUAAAAUGGAGUUUAUGAAUUGGUUUUAAGUUCCUUUUCAAAAUGGUUUUCCCUAAUGAAUUUCUUAACACUUGAGCAAUGUUUUCAAGUAUUAAAUUCUAGAUUCAAACCUUACUUGUAGAAUUAGAUUUUGUGUUGAUUGAUCCACCUUGAAAGAGUAAUUAUGUGGAUAUUGUUAUUUCCACAAAUUUAUUAAGAAUAUUUUCUUGUGCAUGGGUUGUGUGGCUUUUGAAGCAAUUCAGAAGGGGAUGACUCAACUAUUGGAGUUAUUGCUAAUUGAAUUCAGUCAAGUGCAUUUCUAAACCUUGUUUCUAGUUGAAUUCAUAUUCUUCCUUCGUUGAUUAUGUGUUGGGGGUAAUGAGGAGGAGGUGAAGGGCUUAAUUGUCCAAUUGUAUAUAUAAAUGAGUAAAAAGGGGUUGAAAUGAAAAUUUCUAUGUGUUGAAUAUGAUAAUGUAAAUUACCUUAUUGUAACCCUUGUUGAUUAAUUGAUGAAAUGCUUGAAAGCAUGAUUGUGGACUAAACUUUUAUCAAUUGUUGUAUCUUCUGUGUGGUCUGAUAUUGCUUGUAUGCAUCAGUUCUGAGCACUAUGAUAAGACAUGUGAUGAUUUAUGAUGUCGAGUUCUUAACCAACUAGUGAUAUAAACCUGAUGGAUAAUGGUUCCAGCUAAUGAUAUAAAGUUGAUGAGAAAUGAUCCUGACUAGUGAUUUGAUAUAAUUAUAGCCGAUGGAUAAUAGUUCCGACUAAUAAUAUAAGGCCAAUGGGAAAUAGUUAUGGCUAUUGAUUUGAUAUAAAGCCGAUGGGGAAUGGUUCCGACUAUUGAUAUAAAACUGAUGAAAAUGGUUAUGGCUAGUGAUGUUAUUUAAAGCUGAUGGAAAAUGGUUAUGGCUAGUAAUAUUUCACCGAUGGAAAAUUAUUAUGGCAAGAGAUUGAUUAAUAUGACUUGUUGUAUCUAAUGCUUUUGUGUUUGACUUGCUUGAUACUUGACAGUGUUGUACUUGUUGUGUGUGACUGAACUACUUGUCAUUAAGCUUGACUUAUGUGAUUUUCUUGAUUUUUGGAUUGUGAAGAUCAAACGUUGAAUGUGAAUGUUGGGCUUGUGAGACGUCUACUGUAGAAUCGAUAGGUUGAACUAAUUUCUAUGUAGGUUGUAGUUUGAGGAGGUUCGAUUGGAGUGCAAGGGGUAUUUGAUUUCUAGCUAGUUGCUUUGUUUAGUAGGUUGCUUGUUUUGUACUGUGUUAUUGGUACUCAUCCCUUUCUUCUACACUUGUGAAGGUUUCGAGCGUAAAGCCGCGUGAUCUCCUUGUUCACCUGAAAUACGAUGCCCACUGAAGUAUUUGAGAGGUAGUUGAUUGUCAUCUUUCCGGACCUUGUUCUCAUUUUCUUUAAGCAUUGUUCUACUUGAGAAACUUUCAUUAGUGGUUUGUACAUAUAUGACAAACAGGUUUUAGAGUAUUAUAUUGUUAGAAUGAAUCACUGUUCCACAUUCAUCUUGUUUUUGCUUUACUAUUUUCCACAUAUCUUUUUUUAAUUUGGAUUUAGAUUGACUUGUUUUGGUGUGAAUAGACAAGUGUCAUCACAUUCAUUUUUAAAUAAUGACCGUUAGUAGGGAUAAAACUCCAUGAAUGGACUAGUGUAAAUCAUGGAAAUCUCUGGUUUGAUAAACUAAUAUGUUAAAACUUUGUUAGAUCUUCUAAGAAGAUAAAAUUAGGUGAGUUUAUUCACUAUUUGGAUGAUAAGUGGAUUGAGUCCAAUGUGAUCUUAAGGAUGUGUGGUUAUGUAUGGAAAUAUAUUAGGUACCAUACUGAUACAAUAUGUGGACAUCUAGGUUCCUCAACAGGUUAUAACUAGAUGAGCAAAAUUAAAAUUGUUUAGCAUCUAUGCACAAACGAAAGUGAGACGUGAUUUUGAGAGAUGGAAAUUUCUAAAAGAUACAAUAAUUGCACAAAAAAGGCCAGGAUAUAUAUAAUUUUCAUGAUUUUAUUGAGUUGUUUGUAUUUUGGACAAGUGUUUUAAUUUGAUGACUUAAAUUGAUUGAUAAUUGAUGCCUAGAGUUUCAUAAUUUUGAUAAACUAGUUAAGAUAUAGUGUUGUUAAAAGAUCACCUGGUUGGAUGUCAAUGUGACGGAUGGAUAGGCGUAGCACAAAAGAAGGAUCAAUUACAAGAGGAAGGCAGGGUCGAGUUGGGUUAAGCCUGAAUCCUUCCUUAUGGAAGUAGGGUGGGAUAUCGUCUACAAGAUAUGUAUAGUCCUUGUUGUUCACCUCCGCUUCUCGACGCUGACGACCCCUAUCAAGACCUUUUUCCUUUAGAGUUGUCUGACUUCUCGGUGAUCGAAUAAGAGAAGUUUUUACCACUUUCUCCAGCACUCUCGGACUAAUCAUCUUGUUGCAACAAAGCAAGCCUGGGAAUGAAUCUAAUGGAAAUUCAGGUCUCUAUCCGCUUGAAAGAUUAUUCUUUCCUCCUCUGUGAAAGAAGGAAAGACAGGUGUGUUGGAGACAAAAUUCAAAAAACAGAGAAGCUAAAGUCCAGAGGAUAAGGUUUCCAGAUGUAAUCGUGAAUCGAAACAUUAAGUUGUCGACGGAUAAUAUGGUUUUAUGCAAUCAUGAAUCAAAACAUUAAGUUGUCGACGGAUAAUAUGGGUUUAUAUAUACUUACACUUUUAUAAUUGAAUGCAUUAUAAUUCCAAGUGUAGGUUGGAUACCAUAUUACUUGGUCCCCUAUGGAUGUUGGAUUGUGAUAUGUCAAAAAGGAUGCUGAGUUGUAUUGUAUAUUUCCAUAUUGAUUUGCUAAUGAUUUGUGAUGAAUUUGAUGAAGUGUGACUUACG